UACCCGUGCACUCGCGAUUCCGGUUUAUAGGAACUACAGCCGAUCUCGCGCGUUGGUUCGUGACUUGGUAACCUGUUCCCGGUAUCUGGUGUUGUUAUCGGUUAGCAUAAUUCUCGGUCGUCGUCGUUGCCGGUCUUGUACCGAUGAGAUCUGGUGCAACGGAGUUUGGUGAAACAGAUUAAGUGCAUCAGCAAUCCAGACGAACUACUGUAACAACAGCAACAACAAAGCAGUGAAGCAAAACGAAACCCAAAAAAUAUCGACCUGUUCAAGUGCGCAUAGGUGAAAAACGCAACUCCAAAACAUAAGAAGAUUAAUUACAAAGAUUGAAAGUGAAAACCGUUAACGAAAAA